GCUUAUCCGGAGUGACUGAGGGAACAGGCCCUGUGAAGUCCGACAACCUGCUUUGAUGGAAAGUAAGGUGCCAAAUCCUGCGGCUUGACCGAAAGAUGAG
rnacentral:ncRNA from 1 species